GCUCCGGUGGCCUAGUGGUUAGAGCGUCCGCCUUGGAUGCAGGAGGUCGUGGGCUCUAUCCCCGGUCAGGUCA